rnacentral:other from 1 species
UAUAACCUGAAAUGUUCGAUAACUCCUAUGUUUUUGAACCUACAGUUACUUUAAACGGGAUUCCUAUAUUGCCAUAUGGAUGUCAAGCCUCCCGAGGAUUUAUCCCGAUGCAGGGGAAGGCAGAAGUAUCGGUUGCGGUCACCCACCUAGCAGAAUGCUAGGAGUCAAAAAAUAGGAACCGGCAUUUUGGGGUACAU